UACGUAGGGUGCAAGCGUUGUCCGGAAUUAUUGGGCGUAAAGAGCUCGUAGGCGGUCUGUCACGUCGGCUGUGAAAACCCGAGGCUCAACCUCGGGCCUGCAGUCGAUACGGGCAAACUAGAGUACUGCAGGGGAGACUGGAAUUCCUGGUGUAGCGGUGAAAUGCGCAGAUAUCAGGAGGAACACCGGUGGCGAAGGCGGGUCUCUGGGCAGUAACUGACGCUGAGGAGCGAAAGUGUGGGGAGCGAACAGG
rnacentral:rRNA from 1 species